CCGAUAGUGAACCAGUACCGUGAGGGAAAGGCGAAAAGAACCCCGGCGAGGGGAGUGAAAAAGAACCUGAAACCGUGUACGUACAAGCAGUGGGAGCACCCUUUGGGUGUGACUGCGUACCUUUUGUAUAAUGGGUCAGCGACUUAUAUUCUGUAGCAAGGUUAACCGAAUAGGGGAGCCGGAGGGAAACCGAGUCUUAAUUGGGCGUUAAGUUGCAGGGUAUAGACCCGAAACCCGGUGAUCUAGCCAUGGGCAGGUUGAAGGUUGGGUAACACUAACUGGAGGACCGAACCGACUAAUGUUGAAAAAUUAGCGGAUGACCUGUGGCUGGGGGUGAAAGGCCAAUCAAACCGGGAGAUAGCUGGUUCUCCCCGAAAGCUAUUUAGGUAGCGCCUCGUGAAUUCAUCUCCGGGGGUAGAGCACUGUUUCGGCUAGGGGGCCAUCCCGGCUUACCAACCCGAUGCAAACUGCGAAUACCGGAGAAUGUUAUCACGGGAGACACACGGCGGGUGCUAACGUCCGUCGUGAAGAGGGAAACAACCCAGACCGCCAGCUAAGGUCCCAAAGUCAUGGUUAAGUGGGAAACGAUGUGGGAAGGCCCAGACAGCCAGGAUGUUGGCUUAGAAGCAGCCAUCAUUUAAAGAAAGCGUAAUAGCUCACUGGUCGAGUCGGCCUGCGCGGAAGAUGUAACGGGGCUAAACCAUGCACCGAAGCUGCGGCAGCGACACUGUGUGUUGUUGGGUAGGGGAGCGUUCUGUAAGCCUGUGAAGGUGUGUCGUGAGGCAUGCUGGAGGUAUCAGAAGUGCGAAUGCUGACAUAAGUAACGAUAAAGCGGGUGAAAAGCCCGCUCGCCGGAAGACCAAGGGUUCCUGUCCAACGUUAAUCGGGGCAGGGUGAGUCGACCCCUAAGGCGAGGCCGAAAGGCGUAGUCGAUGGGAAACGGGUUAAUAUUCCCGUACUUGGUGUUACUGCGAAGGGGGGACGGAGAAGGCUAUGUUGGCCGGGCGACGGUUGUCCCGGUUUAAGCGUGUAGGUGUGUGUUCCAGGUAAAUCCGGUUCACUUUAACACUGAGGCGUGACGACGAGGCACUACGGUGCUGAAGCAACAAAUGCCCUGCUUCCAGGAAAAGCCUCUAAGCAUCAGGUAACAUCAAAUCGUACCCCAAACCGACACAGGUGGUCAGGUAGAGAAUACCAAGGCGCUUGAGAGAACUCGGGUGAAGGAACUAGGCAAAAUGGUGCCGUAACUUCGGGAGAAGGCACGCUGACACGUAGGUGAAGUGAUUUACUCAUGGAGCUGAAGUCAGUCGAAGAUACCAGCUGGCUGCAACUGUUUAUUAAAAACACAGCACUGUGCAAACACGAAAGUGGACGUAUACGGUGUGACGCCUGCCCGGUGCCGGAAGGUUAAUUGAUGGGGUCAGCGCAAGCGAAGCUCCUGAUCGAAGCCCCGGUAAACGGCGGCCGUAACUAUAACGGUCCUAAGGUAGCGAAAUUCCUUGUCGGGUAAGUUCCGACCUGCACGAAUGGCGUAAUGAUGGCCAGGCUGUCUCCACCCGAGACUCAGUGAAAUUGAACUCGCUGUGAAGAUGCAGUGUACCCGCGGCAAGACGGAAAGACCCCGUGAACCUUUACUAUAGCUUGACACUGAACAUUGAGCCUUGAUGUGUAGGAUAGGUGGGAGGCUUUGAAGUGUGGACGCCAGUCUGCAUGGAGCCGACCUUGAAAUACCACCCUUUAAUGUUUGAUGUUCUAACGUGGACCCGUUACCCGGGUUGCGGACAGUGUCUGGUGGGUAGUUUGACUGGGGCGGUCUCCUCCUAAAGAGUAACGGAGGAGCACGAAGGUUGGCUAAUCCUGGUCGGACAUCAGGAGGUUAGUGCAAUGGCAUAAGCCAGCUUGACUGCGAGCGUGACGGCGCGAGCAGGUGCGAAAGCAGGUCAUAGUGAUCCGGUGGUUCUGAAUGGAAGGGCCAUCGCUCAACGGAUAAAAGGUACUCCGGGGAUAACAGGCUGAUACCGCCCAAGAGUUCAUAUCGACGGCGGUGUUUGGCACCUCGAUGUCGGCUCAUCACAUCCUGGGGCUGAAGUAGGUCCCAAGGGUAUGGCUGUUCGCCAUUUAAAGUGGUACGCGAGCUGGGUUUAGAACGUCGUGAGACAGUUCGGUCCCUAUCUGCCGUGGGCGCUGGAGAACUGAGGGGGGCUGCUCCUAGUACGAGAGGACCGGAGUGGACGCAUCACUGGUGUUCGGGUUGUCAUGCCAAUGGCACUGCCCGGUAGCUAAAUGCGGAAGAGAUAAGUGCUGAAAGCAUCUAAGCACGAAACUUGCCCCGAGAUGAGUUCUCCCUGAGACUUAAAGUCUCCUGAAGGAACGUUGAAGACGACGACGUUGAUAGGCCGGGUGUGUAAGCGCAGCGAUGCGUUGAGCUAACCGGUACUAAUGAACCGUGAGGCUUAACCUUACAACGCCGAAG
rnacentral:rRNA from 1 species